rnacentral:rRNA from 1 species
UACGUAGGGUGCAAGCGUUUUCCGGAUUCACUGGGUGUAAAGGGUGCGCAGGCGGGCUCUUAAGUCAAAGGUGAAAUCUCUCGGCUUAACCGAGAAAUUGCCUUUGAUACUGAGAGCCUUGAGUACGGGAGAGGGAGAUGGAAUUCCAGGUGUAGCGGUGAAAUGCGUAGAUAUCUGGAGGAACACCGGAGGCGAAGGCGGUCUCCUGGCCCGUUACUGACGCUCAGGCACGAAAGCGUGGGGAGCAAACAGG